GAAAAAUUAGUUAAUUUAAUAACAUUAGAUUGUCAUUCUAAAAUUAAUAUUUUUAUAUUAUUUUUCU
rnacentral:tRNA from 1 species